ACCACUGUUUCAUUUAGUAGAAACACUGAGAAAACCAUCAUGAACUUAAAGCUCUACUUUAUUAAAUCUUUGCAACAAACUUUCCUCAUGUGGAUAUUUUUUCUUCUGUCUGAAGAUCACCAUGGAGCGGCAGUAGCAGGAGUACAUGUGGAAGUCGCUUUGGGGGGGAAUGUUACUUUCAAUUGUAAUGCUUCACAUGACAACACAGUACAGAUGAACUGGAAGAAAAGCAAUUCAUGUGCAUCAGAACUUCUUUUUGCUUAUACUGCCAAUGAGACUUUUAUUAAUAUAACCACAGAAAGAAUUAAGUGGAGUAAAGAAAAUCCACUGACUCUUCAUAUUACCGAUGUGCAGUCAUCUGAUGAAGGGAAUUACAGCUGUGAUGUGACAUCAACACAAGGAGUAAAGGACAUGAAGUGGGAGCUCACAGUCCGUCUAGAAACAGGUCCACAUUUCAUUACUGCUACAGAUUGCAGGACAGCAUGAACGCAAGAGAUGAUCUAAAAGUUAGUAUUAUUCAGAUUGUACUUGUGCAACUGCUGCAUAGUGUAAAAAGGGCCAAUUACCUCACAUUUUAACUUUUUAUAUGGAAAUAAUGAACAUUCUGGCUAUGCUUGAUUGUGUAAAAUAAAAAACAAAAAUAAUAAUCCAAAUACACAAAAAUUAUAAAUGUCAUGGUGUCUGAUUUUGUGAUUAUUCAUUGUGAUUGUAUUAUGAUGUCAAGUUUAUAUAUAUGUUGUUUAUAUCUUGUUACAACUUUAUUUUAUCCCACCAAAGGUCCAAAUCUACACCACAUUACGUAC